rnacentral:lncRNA from 1 species
UUUUUUUUUGUAAUCUGUAGGCUUCUAUAUAUGUUGCAGGGCUUCACCGUAUCGGACAGGCAUAAUAUCUGGCUUCUUUGCUGUAAUGGAUGGAUCCAGCCUGCUGUAAUGCUAUGCACGAGCAAAAUAACCGACUUUAUUAUUCUAGAUGACUAACGUGGAAAUCUUUGGUAGGUCUCCUCUCUUGACACACGGACUGGGACUUCUCAAGGGGACAGCAGUGCGGGUUUGCAACGUCUAUCUGAUGGUUUAGGAGUGCCGUGCAAGACAGCGCAGCAGUUGAAAAGAUAUCAGCAGCUAAUGGUAGUUUGUGACACCUAUCUGUAGAUUGAUCAGUGAUGAGCAGAUUCUUGGCACUUCAAUUUCUGCUUUCCCGUUCCUCCCUUUUGCCCGUAUCUGCAUUCUGUGACCAUUGUGCCUGUGACAGAGGCACCGAGGCAUGUCUCCAACUGCUGAUGUCUGCUCUUACUUGUCUACAACUCCUAUCAGUCAUGUUCCUACCUUUCCCCCUUGUGAUGUAUUGUGGCGAUACUCGGUCGUCAGGCUCCCCUCGUGUAUUCUUAAGCUUUUAGUUUGCACUCACGGAGGUCUGACCAAUGGUCUCCUGGUAGUGAUGUGAAUGGUCAUUAGUUCAUUAACGGCUUCCGUAUUUCGCAAACUAAAAUAAAAAUAAAAAUAAAAAUUAGCGGCUUCUGUCUUUUUGUCUUAUGUUUAGGUCCUGUUCUUUGUUUGGAUUCAGAAAUCUUAGUAAAUUUCAAUUUGCACCGGGUAAGUCUUCAUUGUUUCAGAGUCCACCGUCGAAAAAAAAGAAGUCGUCCAUUGUUUCACUUAUAGUUAUAGCAGGGUCAAGGCCUUUUCUUUGUACCCAGGUGUGCUUGUAUAUGUUCCGCGUUUAACCAGGAUAUGUCAUGAAAACCACACCAAACCUUGUAAAAUCUUGGUAAGUUUCAUUAGGUGCCACCCCCUAACAGCUCGCUCAGCGCCACCCCCUCAUGCUGGUCCGUACGACCUUGCCGCCGCCGGGAUGCUUCAGGGUGGCGAAGCUCCCGGCCAUCUCCCUCCCUCCCGACGGGACCUUGCGGAACUCCCUCGCGUUCACGUGCACGUCGAACCUGACGAACUCCCCGGCGUCUGACUCGAUGCCCUCCACCACCAGCACCUCCUCCUGCGCCGCCGGCUUACUCUUCUCCAGCAGGCUGCGCCACCACCGCCGCGCCGCGCCCUCGGCGGCCGCCUCACCUCCGCGGUCACCGGCGCGUCGAGUGACACGUGGAAGCUGACGACGGAGCCCAGCCGCCGGCCGCCCUCGGGGUUCACGCCGGGGGUGGCGGGCGGCCGCGCGGCGGGGUCGAGCCACGGCUGUGGGCGGUCGUCGUCGGCGCCGGCGUUGUACGUGUAGCGGAGCCGGUCGCCGUCGAGCAUGUCGGGGUCGUCGAGGUCCGGGCCGCGGCCGCUGCCGGCGCCGACGAUGUCGCGCCGCCAAGCCUCCCAGAGGCGGUCGAUGUUGGCGUGGUGCGCGUUACGCGCGUAGAAGAUGGGGUCGCGCCCGGCGGAAUAGUAGACGCCCAUGUCCUCGACGUUGAACAACGACUGGUCCCCCGUCCACACGUGCAUGGUGUUGUGCGGGGCCCACUCCAGCUUCCCCGGGCCCGGCAUCGCCUCGUCGCCGGCGCGGUACGGCUGCCCGAGGAAGAGCGCCGGCAGCCUCGCGCCGCUGACCAUCUGCUUGUACAUGAGGCGGAGGUUGAGGAGGACCUGCUGGUCGUCGGUGAGGUUCUUCUCCUCGCCCCACGAGAAGUCGAGGUCGCCGAGCUUGGGCGGCGCGUGGGCAGGCUCCCGCAUGGCGUCGUAGAGCGGCGAGGCCUCGUCGGCGAAGGCGUCGGGGAUGCGCAUGCCCUCGGGGACGUCCCAGGCCCAGAACGGCAGCGCGAAGCCCGGGUCGCCGAGGAGCUUGGCGGCGAUGCGCUCGAAGAAGUAGAGGUAGGCCCGGUGGAAGGGGAAGAAGAGCCAGGAGAAGUGGACCUCGACGCCGAGGUCCGACCGCCCCGCCUGCCGGUGCGCGCCGGUGCAGUAGGCGCAGUGGAUGUUCGCCUGCUGGUGGAAGCUCCGCGGGUCCAACGGCGGCAGCGCCUUCUUCAGCGCCACCGCGCGCGCGUACUUGGCCACGUGGUCCGCGUCGCCAGCGGCGGCGUGCGCCGGCCGCCGCGUCCGGAGCGGCGUGGUGGCCGGGUCCGGGAAGGCGAAGGGGAUGGGCUCCGAUGGCGACGGCGGCGGGCAGCAGUGGAACGGCGGGAGCGCGAGCGGCGGGAGCUCCCUCGUGGCGCACCGCUGGUCGGUCACGAUGGGCCACCGUGCUCGUGCGGUCUUGUUACUGCUUGCAGCGCCGCCGUCGCCGCCCUGGGACAGUGGAGCAUCGGAGCAGGAGAGGAGGUAGGGGUCGUCUCCAGGCCGGUGGCGGCGACGAUGGUUCGUGACAGGGAGUGCGUGCAUGGGCUCGUGAAGAGAUGGAGCAAGGUGGUAGCCGCGGCGGCGAGGGCGCAGAAGAGGACGACGACGCGGAGUGCUGCGAGCGGAGCACCAUUGGUCGCCUUGGCGUCUCUGCGCUCUCGCUGCUCGCUCGUUGGAAACGUUUGGUGGUGGUAGCACUGGUGUCAGUUCAGAGAGACACUUUAAGCGCGCCACGAGACAGCGAGGCGUGCGGCAUGCACCCUCUGUCCUGACACGUGGCAUGCACACGUGGCGCGGCAUUGGCAAUGACCAUGGACAUACACAUUUCGCUAGCUGUCGUGGUUCUUUUUGUCCAGGCCCUGUUUUUGAUAACCAAAAUUCACUGUAGCAUAAAUGUAGCGUUUCAUUUGUAUUUGUGAAUUAUUAUUCAAAUAUUGACUAAUUAGGUUUAAAAUAUUCGUCUCGCAAAGUACAAUCAAACUGUACAAUUAAUUUUUGAUUCCGUCUACAUUCAGUACUCCAUGCAUGUACCGUAAGUUUGAUGUGACGGGAAAUCUUCUUUUCGUAUAGUGCUAAAGUUGGAAUUUUGGGUAAUCCUAGUUUGGGCAUGGCCCGUUCCCAACGAGUUUCACGAAACGGAGAAGGACAUCUCCUGUCCUGGCAGCGUGCUGCCUGUCUUUAGCUUGUCUCCGUGGGAACGUACAGGGGCUGCUUCUUGCAUGCUCGGCACCCUGGAGAGGAUGUCUGGACACGCUUCGCUGGCGUACCAAUGCCAUACACACAGACACAGAGACACAGACACACUCCUUUUAGGGGCAAGAAGAAGUUCGAAAACUCGUAGCAAAUUCUACUCCACAAAUAAAACUCGCAACGAAACAAUGGAUAAAAAAAACCUAGCAACAAAAACAGCGAAAUAAAAAAUAUUUCAGCUUCAAUAAUGUAUAUCAUGGAAUAACGGAUUAGAGUGAAGAAAAAGAGGUUUUUGCGGCCCACCUCCCUCCUCUGAGCGAAAAGCUUGAGCCAGCCCAGCCCAAGAUUGCGUGGAGUCCAACCCGCUGAUUACCUUGGCUCGGCCCGUCCAACGACCAGCAGCCCAUCCAGCAGCAUACGGGAGUCUCGCGUGUUCUGCCACUCCGCUCCGGCUCCCCUUCGCCGUUCGGCGACUCGAACCGUAGCCUCCCACGUCGCCGCCGCGACCGCGAUGUCCUCGCCGCCGGCGCCUCCGGACGUCGGCGUCCCAGCGUCGCAGAUGAUCUUCCCCGAUGAGAUCCUGGAGGAGAUCUUCCUCCUCCUCGACGCGGCGGCCGACCUCGCGCCGCCUGCACCACCCUCCGUCGCGGCGUCUCCGCGCGCCAGUUCCGCCGCCGGUUCUGGUCCAAUUUAAAUUUUAGAAUGGAAUAUUCAUAUUGUAAGACUUCUCGGCUCUUAUCCAUUUUUAGUUAUUUCUGGAAUGGAUACAUCAUUCAGUUUGGCAGACAGGAUAGGUAAAGAUUUCAUCGAAAACUUGCAUCACCUUGCAAAACAAACGCUAAUAGAAAAAAGUCUAUAGGUGUGACGAGCAUAAUAUCUACGGUUGGGUUGAAAAUGGCAUAAGCUUUGGGUAAUUUGGUGAAGAAAAAGCUUGUCGGACAAAGUACAGAAUUAAAACAGAUACAUGUUAAACUAAGUAUAUUAGGUAUAACAAGCAUUUAUUUAGAGUACAUAAUUGGAUUUUGAUCGAUUUAUUUUUCUAAUGCAAAAGGCAAAAGAAAAGGUGGAUUCAAAAUCCUUUUUUCUUUGGACUUUCCUGAACACAAAAUACCUCCUUGUAUUCGCAUAAUUCUCAAAUGAGAAUGGAAGAAUAUAUUGCUUGUUUCAGAGUUUUUCUGCUUGGUUGCUAGCUGAGCUAGUCUUUUGAGAGCUCGGUUGACAAGUUUCUCUGAUUUUGUUCUGAUUGCCUUAACGUAGAUGCAGAAUAUGAAAGGAUGUCCUCGGCCUCGGCCCCAAUUCGCAUUGCUAGGGCCUCAAUCAACGACUGCACUGGAGCUCAAGCUCAUUCUGGAUGGUGUUAAGUUCAAGCUCAGUUGCAGGCAGCUCGAUUCUGGUGGUGAUGAUGUGAUGUAGGCGUAGGGGAUCUUGAGCUUGGUGGUGGACAGCAGUAGCGAGUUCGAUAUAUACAGGUGAUUGCUCACCGUAUUUACCCAAACAAUACUUUUACAAUUAAAAAAUUCCAGCUGUAACCUUGUGCACAUAACAUUACAACUGCAAGCUAGUUACAGGUGUAAAAGCUCAAAAAGACAUCCAAAUAAGGCCUAAGGCAAAUGAUUUCUUUGGUUUCCCUUGUCAGGUCUCACAACAAUUGUUACACUGGUGUGGUUCUCUUUUGCCUUUUUCUUUUGAACAGCUAGCGUACGUUGGAAUCUUUUCAGUCCUAAAAUAUUCGAAUAGUGUUCAAAUAACAGGGGACAAAAAACAAAUUAACUGCAGCCUUUGCUCUUUCCUUUUCUCUUUAACUCCUUUACCUUUGAAAAUCCCUCGAGCUAUGCAAGCAAAGAAUCCGAUGAUGGCCACAGGUAUAUAUGCGCUAACCUUUUAACUUUGCUGAAAGCAAAGGAGACGAAUAUGUGCAUGGGCCAUCCUCCAAAACUCUAGAUUACCGUUACCCUAUCGUCAAGCUGGGGACUCAUGCAACUAGUUCCUAUACCAUACAGGCAUUGUAGUUCUGGCUUGCACUUCUCGUCCACCUGAUCAGAUCUAUUUGCAUUAUAUUAUAUUCGCACCCACAAUAUAUGUAAACAUCCGAUAACAAGGUACUAGUCUAUUUCAUUGGGCUUUCAUCAGCAUCCUCUCAGAAAUUUAUUAUAUGAUCUCUUCACAGUUUUAUUUGUUUUGAUGUCGAAUGAUCCACUUGGAGAGAUAGCACAUAAGGCAUCUAUGUCUACUAAAAAAAUGCUUAAUUUUCCAUCUUGCACGUGCAGGAACAAAUCUGUUGUCAUUGGCUGAGAAAUCAGGAGUUUGCUGCAGAAAAUUGGUUAGCUAGAUGCAUCAUAUCACGCUGCUUUUUCCCUGAUUGAUAAGAAACAUCCCGGAUCGACUGUACAAGCUGCUGGCAUUCUAAACUACAGGCGCAACAUGCGUGUCGACGAAGUAAGUGACCGAUUACCUUUAAUGCUGUAUAUAUAUUAUUUCUUGAAGUGGCUCCAUAUAACUGCUACUAUGCUGAGUAUGUACAAUUUAGUCAUUAAGGAGAGAUGACAUCGUAGUACAGGAUUUUAGACAAACACACCCUAAUUAGACUUGCAUGGUCUCUUAAUUACUAGAUGCUUCAAAUUUUUGGAGGCCAUAAUUUAACAUGCUGAGUAUUUACCCCUUCAUCAACCAAUGUUAUCGCCUCAAUGCUUCCCAGGAUAACUAAAUUGGAAAAGGAUCUCCUAGUACUUUUCUAUGUAGGAUUGCAUUAAUUUAUGGCUUGUAUUAAAUUUUGUUGUUGACAUAUCAAUAUGUUUUGGUUGUUGCAGUCGAUUGAGAUUGAGGCUGAUGACGUACGUGCGGCAGCAUGGGACAUCCUUGAUUUUCUUGAGGAUACAAGUGAAGAAAAGGAGAUCUACUUCAAAGGCUGGGAUGGAUUUGGGGCAUCAGCGGCUCUCAAAGCUGUAGCCAAGAGGCUUCAAUCAGCUGAGUCAAUGAAGAAUCCCAAGUUGAAGUUUGACAGAGUGAUCCACAUCGACUGCUCCUUGUGGAAAAGCAGGAGGGCACUACAAAAGGCAAUUGCAGAGGAGUUGAAGCUUCCCAACCCGGUGAUGGCCAUCUUUGAUCAGAAGGACAGGGACGAUGAUUUCAAAGGGGUCGAUGAAGCUGCUCGAAGGGAGAUCGAUGAUGUCACCAAGGAGAUCUUCAUGAAUCUAGCGGUAUGUCGGUUCGUGGUGAUCUUUCACAACGGAGGCAAUGAAUACAUUGAUUUCUUCGAGUUCGGCAUCCCCAUGUACGGACACUUGCGCAGCAAGGUGCUAUGGACCUUCCACGGAAGGUUCCGGCCGCACGUCCAAGUGGAUGACGAAGUCAAAGAAACAAUAGAGAAAAGGACUGAUGUUUUUCUCCGAGCAGUACCCAGACACAGGUCUGAUGCCCGUGUGAGUGCUGCAUUGUCCAAUGCUGUGAUGGAAGAAGCUAUUGAAGUUGCUACUUACCUAACUACAUGCAAACAUCCCACUAUGGUCCUGGACUGCAUCUUGCACAUGUGGGCACAUAAGUAUGUUGGUGGCAUGGACUGGGGUGCCCAUGCAUCCAGUUACUGGGUAUGUGAUGGAAUCAUAAGAGAUGGAGGCAAAAAUCCAGAGUUACUUUUGAAGGAAAGAAUGUGGGAGAUUGCUGGUGAUUUGCACAGUAAUAUACACUUGAAUUGGGAUCUGGAGUAUGUCUCCCGUGCUGUUCCCAGUUUCGAAUGGGUGAUGCCUGAUGAACGCUGGAUUCGGAUUUUGUUGCCCCCUCUUAUUCCACAUCACACUGAUUGCCAGCAGUCGAGUCAUUCUUUUCAAAGUAUUAUUGAGAAGAAUCGUAAACCAACAAUGGCAACGUCCUUCUUCAUAGCCCCAAACAGAGAUAAACCCUCCACUGAUGAACAACAAGGCUUCACCACUGAUACCACAAGACUAUCAUCCCACAUGUUCAAGCACUAUGAGAAUCUUCGUGUCAUACAACUGUCCUGGUGCACAUUCAGUUUUUCUGCUCCCCCAUUCCUCUACUGCAAGAAACUGAAAUUUCUCCGGCUUGAUCAUUGCAAAGAUCUCGGCACAAGUGCUUCGUCAGAUGGAGGAGAGGUGAAGGAUCAAACAACGCACGGGACAUGCCCCGACGACCUUUUGGUGCUACAUCUGAAUCACACAAACAUCAACCUUCUUUGGUGUACGGGUCCACCUAUGAAUCCAAGAGAGUUGUACUUCAGUGGGGUCAAGAAUUGGAUUGAGCAUCACUUACAUGCUGUACAGCUUGGUGAACUUGGAAAACUUGGAGUAACAACUGACCCGAUGGAGACGUUCCCUAACUUGCUCCAGGCAAAAAGUCUAAGGACAAUCACCCUUGAUGGUUGCACUGAGUUAAAAGAAGUUGGCCCUGAUGUCCUGCCUCCAUCUCUUGAAUCUUUCACCUUCUUUGUCGAGAGCUCAACUGCUAAUAAGGGAACACCAAGUAAAAGCGAGGGCGAAGGAGGAGCUAAGGUGCAUACCAUCUCCCUCCGGUGUUGCAUGCAGCUGAAAGGUUUGUUCCUGAGAGGAUGGUUCAAGAAACUCAAGAUGCUGGACCUCUCGGGUACGCUGUUAAAAACACUUGACCUCAGCAUGGUGGAAGCUCCUUUCCUCCGUGGGCUCCAUCUGUUGGGUUGCCACAUGCUGUGCGCAAUACUGUGGCCACCAGCAAGGCCAAGAUUACAAGAGCUGCAAAUCGACACCACCACCACCCAACUGUCACCAAGCUGCUGCCUUGGGGGCACCCAUUUCAACAUCUCUGUGAGGGAUGGGAGGCUCCUUGGCUCGCUUGUGCCCAUCGGAGAUCAUUUCCUUGGCAAGGGAUUACAUGUUGACAUAUCGUCUCCUGAUCAUGCUGCUUCUUACGCAAGCAGCAUCAACGACGAUGAUGACAGCAUUAUCAUUGCUACCUCCGGCUGCAGCAUCAGUAAGAAGCAAAUGCUCCUGGGCCGGAGGCCUGGUCAGCCAUACACCAAGGACGUCUCCUUCGACUGUACUACCAGCAGCGGCUCCACACUGCUGGCACCGUCGCUGACGAUACAUAGAGACGACGACAACGCCUCAGCAACCGCGUGGAUGUGGGACUGCCCGCGGGCUCCUGAUUGUGGCGCCUACAUUAGAGUCGAAGACAGGAUGCAGAAGACGGGGCUUGUACUAGGACCGGGUCAGGGGACCGAGCUGCUGUGCGACCAUGCUACGAUCCUGCAUGUGCACGACAGCGCGUCCAUCACCGGAAUCCCGUUCCCAGAUAGCUGGGCCAAGUUGUUGUGGUUCCGAGUCGAGCGGUGCCAACGGCUGGACACCGUGUUCUGCACCCCCGAGGGAGAGUGGGUGGGCGGCGUAAGCCGCCAGGCCAUGUUCUGGUACGUCCAGACCUUGUGGGUGUCGCAGCUGCCGGUGGCACGCCACGUCUGGAGCUGGAGCGUGGCGGCGCAGCCCGACGAGCGCUCAUUCGAGGACCUUGGACAUGUGCACCUGCACAACUGCCCCAGGCUGCUGCACGUGCUGCCCCUGUCCAUGUCCGUCAACCUGGGCAGCCUGCACACCCUCGAGAUCGUGUGCUGCGACAGCCUCACAGAGGUGUUCCCUGUGCCGGGCAAGCGAAAGGUGGUGAACUUCUGGAAGCUGCGGCGCCUCCACCUGCACGAGCUCCCUGCGCUGCGUUGCCUGAGCGGCCGCAGAAUGGUGACGCCCGAACUUGAGACCGUUAGGGUGAGGGGAUGCUGGAGCCUCAGGCGGAUGCCGGCUGUCGGGGACGGUACCGGUGGCGGUAGCAAGAGGAAGCCGACAGUAGACUGCGAGAAGGAGUGGUGGGACCGGCUGGUGUGGGACGGGGUGCGGCUUGACCAUGACCCCUCCCUGUACAGGACGCUGCAUCCGCGUUACGGCAGGGAGACCGGUCUGCGUCCAGGAACCCUGCUCAGAUGAUAUCGAUCGAGGUGAGGUGAGCCCUUCAGUUCGUCCUCCACAUGCUUCUCUCGUUAUUCAGUAGCUGGUUAUAUUAAUGAUCCAUCUCUCUCCUUCCAUCAACUAAAACUGCAGCAGGUGAUAGAUGAAACCACCUUGCUUCAUUACUUCUGCCUGAUCGAUUGGUCUCACGAGCUUUGAUUGAUUUGUUUCCUCUCUGCAAAGUCUGCAUCAGCAUUUGAAUGGUAGUAUCCGUGUAUCCGGAUGUUUUUGGGAUUAUGUAUUAGUAAGAUCAUGUCCGGAUGGACAGUGUGUUUUCUGUCAUGAAGAGCGUUUUUUCAUCCUUUGUUUCUUUGUUUCUAUGGUCUAGAACAUGUGUACUGGUUGAGGUGUGUGUUCAGUUCCAGUUUGGGAAGUCUGGAGCAGGUUUGAAUUUGCCAAAGGCUGUCAGUUGCUGAGAGCCAGCAAGGCUGGCUGGAAGCUUAGAUGGUCUUAGGAGUAUGUUGGGUCGGUAUUUUUGUGUCUUUCUGUUAAACUCUUGUUGAGUUUAAGGUGUGGGCAGUUUAAGUACUGCAGUUUGUAAUCAACAGCUGCAAGCUUUCAGUUUCUGAUUGCGGAGGCUGGAACUAUUUCCUUAAUAAACAAAGAUCAUGUAUAUUAUUGACAUCCUACCUCUUUGCUUUGUCUUUCGGGUUAAUAAUUAAUUUUCUGCGUGUUUGAUUUUGUCAAUCAGAUUGUAAAUGUAUUAGAAAGAUCAAGCGACUUUUGAUCAAGCGACUUGGGAUUAUGUAUCGACUUCUUGUUGAAUACUUACUACUCCCACCGUUACAAAUUAUAGAUCGCAUAAGGUUUGUCCUAAGUCAAAAGUCAAACUAAUCUAACUUUAACAGAAGGUUUUAGAAAAAAAUAUCUAAAAUCAAUAAUAUAUCUAAUCAUGACUGCAUCACUCGUGUUCUUUCAAACCAUGCAAUUGAGAUGAAGCCUCUACCCUGAGAACACCUGGGCCUUGUUUAGUUGCCUAACUUUGGAGAUGCAAAAUCACUGUUGUAGCACUGUAGCACACUGUAGCGUUUCGUUUGUAUUUGUGAAUUAUUAUCCAAAUAUUGACUAAUUAGGAUCAAAAGAUUCGUCUCGCAAAGUACAACAAAAUUGUGCAAUUAGUUUUUAAUUUCGUCUACAUUUAGUACUCCAUGCAUGUACCGCAAGUUUGAUGUGAUGGAGAAUCUUCUUUUUGCAUAGUGUCAACGUUGGGAGUUUGGGGAACUCCCUAAUUGAUGUGCUGGGGUAUUUGAGAAAAAUUAAAAGCAUCUCACAUGAGGUGCUGCCAGAGUGCCAUCCCUCCCAGCAGCACAGUAGUCGCCUCUCCACCCGGGACGUCCUACAGAUCAUCAAACCUCCUUUAAUCUGUCCGGGUGGGUUGUAAAUUUGACGCUGAACAACCAUAGCCUAAAGCUAAAGGUCUUGAGCGCACUAAGAUUUUGUUCACUUUUGCUUUGUCCCUUCUUUUUCGUUCUUUUCUCUUUUGUUUGCCACAUUUCGGUCUAUUCUCUGCCUCCAUUGAUUUUCUUUCUUGCAUCUUCUCUUUGCUUGAUGAGAGAGGCAGGGAAUGUAGUAUAUCUGAGGACGAAAGAGUUGUACAUUUCAUUUCAAGUUGGCAUGCACUAUGAGAAGUUGGCAUGCAAUUGCUGAGAGGAUUAGAGAAGGAUUUAUCGCGCUGGUGCUUCAUGACGAAUCUAAUAUCUUACCUGAUGUGUCAAGGGUGCUUGCAUGCCUCUAUGAGAAGAAUAUCAGGUUUAGGACUAUCAAGAUUAAGAAUUACACGCCGGUAUUCAGCCUGAAGGUACUUUGGAGUCUUCUAUUCUUGUUUUUUUUUUGGCAAGAAGAAACUCUUUGAAGAUUUUAAGCUGUCAAUAUCAUUAUUGCAUUUUCUUCGUGCGCACUCUGCAGGAAUGGCCACAUCCUCGAUCUCGAGUUGUUUCAUUCCUUGAUGGGCCUACAUUUCUAGAAGGUAAUACUUGAAUCUUAUGAAAGUCACCUACCAUUCCAAAGUCAGGCUUCUCCUCAAGAAAGGGUCCAAGCCAGACCUCCAUUUCCUUGAAGCUUAUAUUUUUCACCAUGCGAUAAUAUUCAUGUUAGGUUGCUACAAGGAGAUAGGUUGUUUAUUAGUUGUCGCUAGGAAACUAGCUAUGUCAGAAAGUUGUGAUAUCUGGCUAGCCUGGCUGAAAUUUGUACCAAUCUCUUAAAUUGGCAUUUAUCAAUUUUAAAAUAUAUUAUUGAGCUCUUUUCUGCCGAAAUUGAGAGCGAAUUUUCACCAUCAUAUAUCCGUUCAUCAUUUUGGCAUGGUAUUGAUGGGUCCAGUUAAUAUUCCCCUGUUUGUUCUAAGUGAGUACUCAGUUCUCCAAAAUCAUGCACGAUAGCAGCAAAGUAGCCAAUGCACUAAAGGCAGUCUAAAUUAAAGGAGAGUAGAAUUGGUUUAAUGUGGUUGCCAUUUUCGAAUUUGACUAUAUGCUUGUUAUUUAUAGCAACUGAACGACAAUAUAGCUUGGUUCAUUUUGAUGCAUGUAGAACACAACUGGUGGGCUGCAAAUCCUUGAAUUGAUUAGAGUCAGAAGAGUUGAUCUCAAAAGAGUUAAUAGUUUCUCCUGUCUCAGAUGCAGGAACUUAAAACAAUUUUUUUGCAUGAAAACUGCAUAACUAUGUAAAGUUGUGAUGCGGCUUGCAUUUGCUAAAGUUAAUAUGAUACCAGUUCCUUGUUACUAUUAGUGCAAAAAGAAUUGUAUUCCUUUUGCGUUUACGUGCAAAAAAAUUUGGAUAUUGGCAUCCCAGGACACAAUAAUGUCUUCAUCAAGAAUGUUUGAAUCCCAAGAAUGAUGUAAAACAUUGUGCUCUUAUUUAGCUAAAGCCGGAAGGCAACUUUUAGAAUUAUAUACUCCAAUCGCGUGUGCUGUUAAUUUGGAUUGCAGAACAAACUGUUGUUGUAAACAGACAAAUAGAUGGGAGGGAAUGAAUUCAAGAUGAACUGCCCGCAAUAUUUUAGUUCUUAAUAGGUGAUAGUGAUACUCAUGAAAUCGUAGAGAUUCAUUUCUUCGCGGUGGUCAACAGAAAACGGAUUCAGAAAUUUUGCCAGUGAUAUUCCAAUGGUAAUUUAAUUUCAGCAGCUCACUGUACAUUUCUAUUUCCAGAUUCCAGGGAAAUCUGCCGCCAUAUAGCAGAAAAGCUCACUGUCCAUUCCUCCUUGGGAAGGAUGGCCUCCAGAGGGCUUCAAUUGAGCAAUGGCUCCACUACGAGGAGCACGCUUUCAACCCUCCGAGCCAGGCUUUGUUCUACCAUUUGGCCUUCCCCCUGGACGAUGACAAUGACCUUGACAUGCAAAGAAGGAAGCUAGAAGAGGUCCUGGACGUCUACGAGCAGAGGCUCGGUGACAGCAAAUACCUUGCCGGCGACGAGUUCACCCUCGCCGACCUCGUGCACUUACCCAACUGUCACCACAUCGCGGAGUCCGGUAGGUUCAGGUACCUGUUGGAGUCGAGGAGGAACGUGUGGAGGUGGUGGAGCACCAUUUCUUCGCGGGACUCGUGGCAGCGGGUGGUCCGCUACAUGAAGACCGUGGAGGAUGAGCACAAGCUGGAGUCGUUGCUGGAGCUGCGGAGGAAGCGCCGCGGAGCCGUCGUUCGACAGGUUCGGAAGGACCCCCGGAAGCACAUCAUCGCCAAGUCCGAGACGGUCUAGGGGGACCGGUGAAGAUGAAGAUCGCUUGUUGUUUGUCCGUACUCCGGAUCAACAUGCUUAAUUUCUGGCUUUAUUUGGUUUAAGACUUGCUUAAUCAUCGUAUGCAUUUAAUAAGUGUCGCUGAUGUGUGGAAUGAGAUUUUAAGAAGAAAGUUAUAUAGUUUACUGUCAAAGCAUUUAUAGUUUUAAUUAGAUUCACUGUGAGAGCUGAUGGUACGGUUGAUCUCGACAAAACUAAAAUAAUAUAUUUUUUUAAAUGUAAAAAGGGGCAUGAGCACUGUCAUAUCAUAUAAGGAGAAAAGCGAGUGUUAUGUUUCUGAUAGCAAUAUUAUUAUAUUUCUAAAACGUGUUGGAUCAACUUAACCUUUAGAAGGAACUUUCUCAGGUUCUUUAUACAAUGAACUGGCAUUAUUCAGAUUUUACUAACAAAUGGAUGACAUGUGUCUGGAGAACUAAAUUACCUUUGAAGAUUAUUAGAGUGUUCCUUUAGCAACUCUGCAACGACAAAAUCACAGACCACAUUAUCUUUCAACGUGCUGUUGCUCAAAUUUGUUGGUGCAUAUAUAGAGAUGUUUUAGAGUGGCUCUUUACACCAAUAAAUGUGGAGGAUCUUCGAUAGAUACUAGGCUGUGUGCCAUGGAGUUUAUGGCUUAUCCGUAAUGAUUUAGGCCCAGUUUAGAUACACUCCUAGCCACGCUUGAAUUAUAAUCUAAGCGAAAAUUUUCUCGCUUCUCGCUUUUCGUAGUUCAAAUCUAUGAAAUGGUUUACCACGUAAGCGAGAAUCAUUGGAAAUAAGCAAAUAAAGCGUUUGGCGGGAUUCUCGCUUACUUCCACCGAUAAGCCACUUAUAAGCGGAAAUAAACGGGACAUAGUGUUUAACAAUUUAGCAGUUCUCUCCCCCAAUGAGCUGAAUAAACGGGGCUGAAUAAGCUGAAGCGAACAAGCCCUAAUUUGUUAAACACUAUCAAAUCCGCAGGAAUCAAAUCACUCUCCAGUCUAUGUAGCUUGUUUUGGAGAGAGAGAACGAUACGAGAGGCUGAGGCAGGAGGUUGCCAUGGGGAUGACCGGAUGACCAGAUGAAGAGAUAAUAAGGGCACAAUGCACUUAAAAAGAAAGAAAAUAGACCUUUCAGACUCUUUCCUCACUUAGCUUUUUACAAAACAGGAGGGAAUCCCUUACUAAUUACUUAUAUAUGAAGCCUAAUUAAUAUAUGAUUUGAUCGUGUAAUGCUACAAUAAAUAUGUGAUAAUUAAGGAUUAGUUAGGUUUAAUAUAUUCGAAUUAACCUGACUUAUAUGAAAUUAUUUUUAUAAUUAGUUCACGUGGUCCGGCCCGUUCAACGCCCAGCAGUACGCGUGAGGCUCUCACAUCUUUCUGCCACUCCGCUCCGCCACUCCCGGCUCCCCUUCGCCGUUGGCGACUCGAACCCUGGCCUCCCCCGUCGCCGCCGCGAUGUCCUCGCCGGCGCUGCCUCCGGACGCCGGCGCCCCUUCGUCUCAGCUGAUCUUCCCCGACGAGAUCCUGGGGGAGAUAUUCCUCCGCCUCGACUCCGCGGCCGACCUCGCCCGCGCGUCCGCCGCCUGCACCGCCUUCCUCCGCGUCGCCCGCUUCCUCCGCCGCAACCGGUCCCUCUACCGCCGGCCCGUCGUUGGGUUUCUCCAGUUCGAACUCCCCUCCUCCCCCCACCGCCACCCUCCCUCGCUCCACCACGCCGAGCCGCCGCACCGCUUCGCGUUGGCCGGCCGCGCCCUCGCGUAGCUCGUCGACCUCACCUUCUCCUUCCUCCCCGACCCCAGCACCUGGCGGAUCUGCGAUGCCGGCGACGGGCGCAUUCACCUGGCCUCGCGCACCGCCGACACCACCGAUGAAUUCGUGGACCUCGUGGUCUGUGAUCCUUUGCACCGCCGGUACGUCCGGAUUCCCCCCAUCCCCGACGAGCGGAAAGUAGCCCAACACGGCCCAACAUACAGAAGAACCCAGCAAAAAGUAGCCCAAACUCACUGACUGGACCGAACCUCACUUUCGAGUUCGGGCUCAGUUCCUCUGCCCACACAGCCCACCUCCCUCCUCCCCGCGCGAUGGCGGCGACUCCGGCGAGCGGCGGCGGCGGCGCGUACUCGUGCGAGACGGCGGCGCGGACCCGCGAGUGGAUGGAAGCCCUCGCCGCCUUCCUCGGCCGCCACCGCCCGCUGCUCGAGGCGCACGUCGUCAACUUCUUCAAGGUCGUCCUCGUUUUCCCCCGUGAAUUUCAGCAGGCUCGGCGACGGAUCGGAUGAUUCUGUUCGUUCGCUGAGUGUUUCCGUCCUCUAUGGUUUGGUUUCGCGCAGGACAGGAUGUGGGAGCUGGUGGACGCCGAGUGGAUGGAGUGCCUCCGGCGGGAGCCCGUGGGGAGCUUGCUCAAGCUGCCAUCCGGAUGCGUCCAGGUAUGCAUUACUCUGCGUGCAUGACAGCGACUCGAUGUGUCCAAGUUCAUCGUUGCUAGUUCACGCCCUUUCGAGUUUGAUGGAUCCAAGUGUCCGCUGCUUUCGCAGGAGCACUGGCCCGCUACGCUGCGAGAGUUUGUGCUUACUGCUAGGUCGCUUGUUGUUCCACGGGAGCAGAAGGCUCCGCAGUCGGUGGGUUUCCUGAAUUUAACGGAUUAUUAACUGCACGCGCUCCACAUGCAGUCGUGCUGCUUAGUUUGCUCUUCUCUCAAUAUAUGUCUGCAUUACAUACUCAGUUCAAUUUGCUGUCGUUUCUAGUCAUUUAGUUAAGAGAUUCUCUAUUUUCCGUGAUCUUCUUCAAUAUUGACAUUUUUGUUCUUGAAUAUGUCUGGCAACUAGUCUCGCUCCACAUGCAGCCGUGUUGCUUGGUUUCAAUGAACAAACUAUGAGAUUGCUUUUCUCUUAAUAGCUCUUUGCAUUACAUAAGCUCACUUGCUGUCGUUUCUAGUCAUUUAGUUAAGGGAUUGCCUAUUUUUCUCAUCGCUGUGAUCUGCUUUAAUCUUGACAUUUUUUUUCCCUUGAAUAUGUGUAGCUUGUACCUGAUAUUCAUGUAGCUUCAAUUGGCACCGUUCUCGCUCAAGGCAUGAACUCAAAGAAGAAGCACGAAGUAGGUAAUCCAGCUUUGUGCUGAUUCUUGAACUUGCUAUGCAGGCUUAUUUAUUUGCAAGUCUGAUGUUAUUUUUACUUGUUAUUUGCACUCUCAUUCUAGAGAAACUGCUUUAUGCAGAUUGAAAAUCUAGCUGCAGUGGUUCAUGCGAUUGCUAAGAGUUGUGGAGCCAAGACAGUGGUUGAUGUAGGUUCUGGCCAGGUAAUGUCAUCUGCAUGCAAGCAGCUGCACGAUUGUAAUACAAGGUUUCAAGUGGACACAAUUAUCUUUCUAAUACUUGGACAGUUGGCAUUUUUCUUCAUUGCUCUCGGUUGUGAUUAUGACAUCUUAAAUAUCAGAACUGAAAGAACCAGUCCUACAUGAACUGCUUAAAUUUAAGGUGGUCUGUAUUUUUGUUAGAUUUAUUUGCAAAUUGGAAUCAGACUGCGCAAGUCAGUUGUUUUCUAGCACCUGAAAAUAGAAAACUGUUCCACUUGCAUUUAUUUGUGUAGACUUUGCAUGGCCUUGGUUUUGUGUUGAUAUUUUCUGGGAGUGAAAGAAAUGAUUGAUUUUAACAUAAUUCAACAGCAAGUGUUAUAUCAUGUAUUUAUUUUUAAUUUUAUUUGAUAUUUUCAGGGUUAUCUCGCACAAACUUUAUCCUUUGAGUACCAACUCCCUGUUGUAGCGAUAGAUGCUUCAUCACAUCAUGCAUCAGUUACAAUUGCUCGUGCAGAGAGAAUAAAGAAGCACUAUGCUGCUAAAUGGUGCAACCUUCAGUGAGUUAGUUUGAGUUCUACUACCUUUGGGUUGAUACCUGCUGCUAUAAAUUGCUACCUAAUAUUUUUGCAGUGUGGAGAAGCAACUGCUCACAGUACCUAGGACUGUCACCUGUCAUGUUCUUUCUAGUGACACAUUGGCAGCUGUCACGCUAGAUGCAUGUAAGGAUAACCACGGUGAACAUGUAAGCGAAACUAAGGCCUGUACUAUGAAAAGCCCACAAAUUCUGGAACCAACUCAGAACAGUCCUCCAUUAAUCCUUGCUGGUCUUCAUGCUUGUGGUGAUCUCUCAGUUAACAUGCUAAGGUUGGUCUUUGCUUUCAUGUAGUGUGGUCCUGUCUCCAAACUUGCUAAAUGCUGCAUCGUCAAUUAAAAAAAAUCCCCCACCUUGAUGAAAAUAUUUUUAAAGUAUGGCUAUCUUUUUUGGACAGAGUUUUUGUGUCCUGUGAACAAGUAAAAGCAUUGGUAAGCGUUGGCUGCUGUUACAACUUACUUUCUGAGGAUUCUUAUGAGGACACAAACACCUGUUCUGGUUUUCCUAUGAGCAAGGCUGCCAAACUAUCUAAAUUGGUGCUUGGGAAAAGCAUUCGUGAUCUUGCUUGUCAGGUAUGAUGCAUUUGACGAUCUUAGUGUCGCCUGCUGUUCUUUUGAACAUCUCUUGCUGCAACUCGUGAAGACACGCAGCAUAGACUGUAUAUACUAACAAGAGUUAUUUGGUCAGUGGACUUAGACUUCUUUUUAAAAAAAUGCUCACAAGCUCAUUGAAGUUUUGUGCUUCCUCUGCACACUUGUGUCGUUGUGUGGCCACAAUUUUGUGGUCUAAAUCAUUAUUGCUGAAAAUUAAAGGAUACCUAUUUUCACCUCUGUAAGUUUUUAUGUUCAUCUGUUCUAUGUUAGGUGAAUGUGUUUAAUAUUGCAUUCUAGAGCUAACUGUUACUUGCUCUGAUAAUGGUAUCAGUUACUUUUAUUGACAUCACAUGUUUGUUAGGUAACUAGUACACUUUGACUAUAUCUCUAGUUUGAACUAAUUGCAAACAUGACAAUUGUAUACAUUUUAAUCUACAUACUAUUAAAGAUGCAGUCUUGGAAAUAUCUAAAUGAUUUAGUGAUAUUUUGGCUGCAGCUCUUUAUUUAUUGAUAUUUUUAUUCCUUUUAGAGUGCAGAGAGAUGGAGAAGUCUCACCGUGGACAUUGCGCUGCAAAAUUUUGAUGUACAUGCCUUCCGAGCUGCAUUUCAAAUGGUAAAUGUUUUGUUAUUUCAAAACAAACAUUUUAUUUUUUUCAAUGUUUUCAUUUAUACUCUGGAUAUUUCACUGUGCUUUAUGUUUGGUCACUCUUCAUUUAUCCUCAUGUUCAAUAUUAUUCUACAGAAAGGUCUUGAAUAUAGUGCACUUGCUGAUGAGUACGUGUUCUUGUUUACCUAGUUGCAUUGCAUCAGCAAUUCACUCAUAUGAAUUCAGAUUUAUGCUAUGCAUUGUUAUUUGUGCAAGCAACAGUUUCAAUAUAAUAUUCAGCUAGCUUGAUGAACAUGAUGAACUGGCUUAUAGGCUGGUCAACGGCGACAGGUUUUUGUGACAUUCCCAACUUACCUUGCAUGUUUAGCUAGAGAUCUGCACAGUGGCUUCCUAGGAAAGACUAAAUGCCUAUGCAUUCACGAUUCACCACACAUGCUGAUAUGCUAGCCACACUGCAUGUCAAUUGCUGUUUCUUGUAUGAUGUCAGUACCAAACAUGUUUAGAUUACAUAUUCAUGCCUUUCUCUGUGAAUAUGGAAGUGAGUUGUGGUUUGUGAAUAUGUCAAUUAAUUUUUAUUUGGACUUUUCUUCGCGAUGAUUAUUGUUCAUGAAAGAAGAUAUAGAUCCAUUUAGAUUCUACAACACUAGAAUCCAGGAGCUUCUGAGUUUGACCUUUUGGGUAGAUUUGUGAAUAGCAUUUUUUUUGGUUAUUUUAAAACUUUUGAAUUCGCUGAACUAUAUGUUUCUGCUGUAGGUACUUGAGAAAUAUUUUCCAGAAGUGUCAAGGUUGAGUCCAUCAAUUGGAAGGCAAGGAAAAGCUCUUCGACGUCAGAGGCUUCGGAAAGUUGUGGAAUCACAAAUGGCUACGGAGAAAAUUGAUGAUCUCUCCUGUUCAACUUUAAAGGAACAAAACAUGAACACAGAUGAUGUUGAUUCAGUCAUAUAUGGAGUUGACACAGGACCAGAUGACAUCCAUCAUGAUCAAUGUCGAAAGUUUGCCCUUUUCAAAGAUUUCGCACUAUCAGGAUUAGGUCGCCUUGGCUGUGGCUCAGUGGAAGACAUGAGUCUGCUUGAAGUAUGGAAGAGCGUGCAACCCUUCUCUGUAAGUUUCAUCGAAACACCCUUUUUAAUUAUGCUGUCUUGUUAUGGUACUAAUUCCAAGAAGUUAAAUGCGCGGAUCAUUUUCAAUUAUUUGUUCAUUCUCAAUAGAAGUGAAAAUGAUGUUAUUCUGUCACUGUCUUGUACUCCCUCCGUUCCAAAUUGUAGGUCAUUUUGGCUUUUUCAGGUGCAUAGUUUUGGCUAUGCACCUAGAUAUGGUAUAUGUCUAGAUGCAUAAUAAUAUCUAUGAACUUAGAAAAGUCAAAAUGACCUAUAAUUUGGAACGGAGGGAGUACACACGUUAGGUAAGCAAGUCAUCGGUAAACACUGAUAAGUAUGCUUGCUUAGGUCAUUUCAGUUUUUAACACAUGUGAAAGUCCUUGCAAAGGCCCAUCAUGGCUAUUAAUUUUUGAACAGUACUUUAAAUUGGGAUUACAUCACUGUGUUUCUGGUAGGUUAGUUGGUGGAACAUGUAUUGAAAGAGUUAUGCAAAGCAUAGUAAAUUGAUAUGUUUUAAUGCUGGAUGAAGACAAUAUAAAGCAGAUUGACAGUGUUUGUUGCUUAUAUCACAAAAAACUAUAUUAAUGUGCUUAACAGUAUGUCCGUCCAGAUGCCUUUCCAACUGCUUCAUAUUCAUAAAAGCAUAGUAGUUGGGAUAUGAUCGUGAUCCCCCCCCCCUGAUUUUUUAGCAUAAAAAGAACCACUCUAUCACAAAUAUCUAAUCACCAUUUUUCUUAUUCUUUCAGGAAUAUAUAGGUCCCUUUUGGUGCCUUCGGGCUGCUUUAGGUCCACUGGUGGAAACAUAUAUUUUACUUGACCGGUUAUUGUUUCUUCAAGAGCAAAGCAGCCUAGUUGAAGCAUUGUUGUUUCCUCUAUUUGAUCCUACUAUGUCUCCAAGGAACAUGGCCAUAAUUGCUUGGAAGUUAUCUGCAAAUUCUUCAGAAGCAUGACAUGGUAAAUCUUCUGAUGCUGGAAUAUGUAGGUUGAUGAAAUGUUGUGUUGUUACCAAAGACAGUCUAAUGGCAGAAACGUGAUCCUUCAUUAUAUUUUGAUACAAUUAUUGUAUUUGUUGUUUUGCUGUAUACAACAAAAACUGAAGAUAGUCUUAGCUUUGAAAUUAUGAUAGCAAUGCAUUAUGAGACUGUUCUCAUAUACUUGCUGCAACCUAGCUUCUCCCAGAUUGUAUUUUGCUGCUUGUGUGAUGUUCAGAUUUUGCGAGAAUGUGGCAGGCCAUCUAGCCUGCUCGAGACUUUCAGUAUAUCUGCACAGGUAAGAAAGAAACCUCCAGCAGACUAGAUCCUGCAAAUCUAGUUGCAGGAAUGUGCAAGAUACUGCCCUCGAAGAGUGUGCCUUUAUCCAUUGAAUGCUAAGUCAACAUCUAGAUUGAUUCCAUGGCCUUUAGUGCUUGCUUGUUUGCUUGUUUUUCUAAAGUGAUCAUGAAACAAGUUGCCAUGGAACAUUAUCGUUCCUGCAAUAUGUGUAUACGUGUUCUAUGCAAGAACUUAUGUACAUGUCAUCACUCAUUGUUGUUAUAUCGGCCUGAAAGAAAAUGGCAUUCGGACAACAGAAACAAAAGAGGAUUUUGCUUCAGAUACUCCUAGGCUUUUGCCUGCCUUGCAUAUCCUGAUGCAAUUGGUAAAGUUAUGUCUGAUCAUGAGAACCUAUGAUUCAGCAGGGUUGACAUAGAGGGGCAAAUGAUCAUUUAUGCAAUGUAAGUUGCCUAACCACAUUGACUAUUUACCUGCAAUCUACUGUGACUUGUCAUAAAAAUCAAAUCCUGUAGGAUCUCUGAUGUGAUGCCACCAACAUGGGUAGGCUGAAAGAGGACCAGCAGAAGAGGUUGACUUGCGUUUUAUGCACAUGUGCUAUCCACAUGGUUCCAUCAGUAUGUUUGUGGUUUCAGGUUUGUCCUUGCUUAUCCAUGCAUGUCAUAUGUGCGUGUGUAUGGCGUGUAUACAUUUUUUAGUCCUUUGGUGAUUUGACUUACUGUUCUUAUCAUAUAAGCAUUUAUUUAAUGGGUUUUUUAUUAACUCCUUGAAUUGUUUGUACUCCACCCUGCAGUCUGUUAGUUUUCUACUCUUCUGCUGCAGGCUUGACAACUAAAGAAAGGGCUUGGUUAAUUGCCACUCCCAAAAAAAAAACUUCCAUGUUGACCAGUCAUUUAUUCAGUCUUAUUCUCCACUCGUGGUUUGAUAGUUUAGAGGAAAGUGAUGAGAGCAGCAGAGGUGCUUGGUGUAAAGGCUAAAUAAUCCCUGGGCCAUCAUGGUAGCUCAAGAGCAACAAGCUGUCAUAUCAUUUGUGGAUGUGGUUUUACAAUGCAAUUUGACCAACUGAAGUUAUAUCCUUGCAUUGGUCUGCUGUCAGAAUCCUGGUAUGUUUCAUCCUUUUUGGCUGUACUACCACACAAUAAUUUGCUGAUUUUACUUCCAUGUGUCAAACGAAACUUUCCUUACCUAGAUUGUACGUGAUCUUGAGGGCGAGUGAGCUAUGUAAUAUGCCAUCUUCUUUUGUCCCUUCUUUUUUGCAGAAUUUGUUCAGCCGUUGUCAUGAGAGUGACGGUGCCUGUACUUCCGAUGAUGGAUCAGUGUCAAGGUGGACACUCAUCAGAGCCGUCGCGGCCCUUCUUUCCGUCCUCGAGCCCUUAUCCAGAUUUGCACACCCGGAGGUGGGCGACGAGGUCGCUGGUCAAUUCGAGCUGCUUUUCACCGAUGCAGCCAGCAGCAUCCGGGAGAGGUAAUGGCACACAGCUCUUGACCUGGAAGCUCUGCCCUUCUGGUGUGAUGGACUGAUGGUGGCCAGCCAAUAUCUUAUGGUGAGAUCUUGAGCAUCAUUUUAACCCGGAAUAUGCGACGAAAGACCGUUCCCUGGGCACCCGCCUGGCGCGAGCUGAUUGAUUGGUUUAGGUUAAAAGUGACUGGAAUUGGGGUGUUAGGCCGUGCAGAGGGGGAGGGGGGGAGGUAUGGGGAUGAGCUUUCCGACGUUGCUGUCACGCCCAUUUCCAUGUCACUUUCAGCUCGUGUAGCGGUAGAGGUAGAGGUAGAGCAGCGGGGCAUAAAUUCCCCCCACUAUUAAUUAUUAGUGUUGCGGUGAGGUCUUCCAAGAAGGGUUCCUGUUUACUUCUUGGAUUGGAUAGAUCUGUGGGAUGGCAUCUCUCCAUUUGUGUGCCGUGCUGCGAUCUUAUCGCGACUUUUUUCUUUUUCGAUUCGACAGGAAAUAUGUGCUGAAAAGGAUUUUCACCGCCUUUUUCAGGCUUGACUUGUCCGAGACCGCCGAAGAGCCUUUGGAGUUUGGAAGAAGCAUGGCCGUGGCUUCGGUCGCUGGCUGGGUUAGUGGCUGUGAUCAUAUGCUGCACUUGCAGAGGAAUCUGGCACUGGAGAGAUGAGAACUUCUUUGAGAAUUGAGAUGGAUGGAUCAAAUCAGUUUGGCCUGUGGUCGUCAGUUUCAGACGACCCGAAGACUGUUUCAGCUCAACUGCAUAAAUUCCGAGAUACAGUACUAUCAAUGGUUUUCGCAGUGACUUUUUUUUGUAUUUCGAAAAUAAAAAUGUAAGUUCUUUCUUUUUCCAAAAUAUAAACGUUUUUUUUCCCUGCACAGGCCGGGGAUUGCUUUUUGUCGCGACGUGAGGCAUGGCAAGGGAGAGGAGGGAUGGGAUGGGAGGCCGCUGGCUGGGAUCGCUCACGUGAUGCGGCUGCGCAACGGCAACGGCCGGUGCCGCCGCGGCGACACGGGAUCACGCGGCAGGGGACGCGCCGCGCGCGUGGUUGGUGUGACGGCGGCGUACGCGCCGUUCGCAUGCCAAGAUCCAUGCGCGUAACCGAACCGGCAUCGGCCGGCGGCGGUCUUCGGCUUCCUGCCUCCGUCCGCCGCCGUGAGUUCGACGCGGCCACUUGCUUCCUGUUACCGGGAGGCUGCACGUGUCGCCUUGCCCGUGGUGCCACGUAGCCCACCUCCACCCUCUGCCGAUCGAAGACUGCGCAAGUCUUUGUUAGUCUCGGUGUCUAAGAGCAUGUUUGGACCGCAGUGAUUUCGCUUGGAUUUUAUCCGAGUCUUCGGCGGAUUUGCGGAAGGUCUCGCUUGUUCCGGUUCCUGAUCGAGGAGGUUACAUGGGAUGGCCAUCAAUGGCGGCUGGAAAUUGCGUCGCCGAUCUCGAGGCAGGCGCUAGGGUUCGUUCGUUCUUCAUGGCUACGCCGUGGCCGUCCACUCGAUGUCAUCGUCGUCCUUAGCCGCCGGCGCUCGAUCCUGAUCGACGCACGCCUCCUCGGCUGGAUGAUUUUUUCCAGAUUCCAAAGCCAUAGCAGGACUCGGUUUAUUUACAUCCAGGUGUGGACAGAACGAAACCCGGUCAUAAUCUGAUCCGCAGCAAGGCUUUAGCACGCACGAGGUAGGUGAAAGCAGAACGGUCUCGCCAGAAACCUGCCUGGAAUUAGCUGACGGCAGCGCCAGCUUGCAAGCUACGUAUUUGUGAAUACGUGGGCAGGAGUUGUUGCAGCGACCAGUAUUGCAAUUUUCUUAGGAUCAAGAAGAUGAAAACACGCUGACUUGAGCUUUUCUUAUUCUUUUUGUUGCGGAGAGAGCAGGUACUGGUCUUCAAUUUGGGGGGGGGGGGGGGGGUACGGUAAAAUAAACAGUUUUUAUUCCCAGUGAUCAGGUUGGAAGGAGUCCUUUUGCGGUUUAUCUUCUUCCCGUUUACGGCAAUCCUCAUUCCUAUAAAAUCCAUUUUUUUAUUUUCUAGGCAGAAUAUUUUAUAAUAUUUUUCAACAUAGUGUAUGUAGGCGCUCUACACGUAACAUGAUAUACUUGAACUUUUCGUUUUCCUUCAGAAGUAUUUAACAUUUGACUUGAAGGAGUAGGGCAGCUACAACUUAGCUGACAAGUGGUGCACUUGCUUGUACAUCCUUGGUGGAUAGCAAUCCAGCCUUUUCAGUUCUAUUCCAAGGAUUGCCUUAAUUUUAUAGAUUCUUUUGCCUCCUUUAAUUUUCUCCCUAAUUUCCUUUUACAUAUAUAUUUUUAAGGGAUUUUUUCUUGGUGCAAUAUGCAUAUAUGGAGAGGUGUGCACAUACUGUAGCAUCUAUUAGUCUCUUGUACUGACCUGGAAAGUGCUGCCCUUAUUUGUGGAAUGAAAAGGAAAAAAAUGGAAAGAGGGGGAAAAGGGAUAGAUGAGAAGCUUGAGGGAGACCCACCACCUAAACCACCUUAUAAACCCCUCUUCUUCUCAACUUGUCACAUGACACAAAGCACAUAUCUCAGUUCUUCUUGGCUACUAGGCUAGUUUCUCUCCCUCCUCCCCUCCGUCUCUCUCUCUCCCUAUUCCUGUUCUCUCUCUCAUCUCACAGCUUGAGAGAGGUAGGAGAGAUAGGGGAGAGAUCAUGUCGAUAAGCUUCUUGAGCAUGGUGGAGGCGGAGCUGCCACCUGGGUUCCGGUUCCACCCAAGGGACGACGAGCUCAUCUGCGACUACCUCGGGCCCAAGCUCGGCGGCAAGGUCGGCUUCUCCGGCCGCCGGCCGCCCAUGGUCGACGUCGAUCUCAACAAGGUUGAGCCAUGGGAUCUCCCUGGUGAGUUCAACUCGAUCAGCCCACCUCUCUCUUUCCCUAAAUCUUAAAGUUUGUUCCGAUCCUUUUGACAUCUCAAUUGCUUAGCCAUGACUUGCACCCAGUUGACGUGGGCAUGGAGAGAGAGAGAGAGAGAUCAUUCCCCCGGAUAAAAAGGAGAUCCUUUAGUUUUGAUUUUCUUCUCAUCGAAUACAUAUGAUCUCCAUCCUAUUUUGUGCUAUCUUUUUUUUAUUUCCUAAAGCUAUUUUGGGAUCCUCGAUUGCUUCUGCGUGAAGAAACGCCACUAGUUGCCAAUGUGCUGUGCAUACACUAAGUUGCACCCUUUCUUUUUUCCUUCCAUUUGCGUCAAGGACAAUUUCGCUCUUAAUACCUAAACAGACCCUUAAAAAUCAUCUAGUAUUUUAUCUUCAGAUUAUCCCUUUCUUUUAUUUCUCCUGUUAGUAUAUGUAUUUUCCAUACUUGAUUUAUUUUUCCUUUUGUGAAGUUGAUGCCUCCUAUAAUUUCUAGUCAUUGAGUUGAAAUAAAGCAAUCAUGUAGUAGUUACUUGCAAUUCAGAUACAUCUCGGUUGAAUUAUUCGAAUUUGUUCUAGCCUUCAGUACUAUUACAUAUAGUUAAUUCAUCGCAUAAAAAAUUCUCAUUUGUUUUGAAACCUCAUGUGGCAGUCUAAUAUCAACGUCACUAUCAGAGUACGUGUACUUGGUAGAAGACUAUAAUAACAAGAAGGUCUUUUUCCAGAAAAGAAAGUACAUGUAGAUCUAGCUAAGGGCACUGCAGUACACAUAAUUCUUAGCAUUUUCAAUCAAACAAGAGGAAAAUCACAGAACAUAUAGAUUAUACCUGCUUUUUCGUGUUAGAUAUGCGCUCAUGUUAUUAUCUAGCUUUAGGCGAAUGUUUCGAAUAACCGAUAUUUGCGCAAUUUGUCAUGAAAAAUGAUAUAGAGAGAGAUCGAAUUGAAGAAUAACCUGACAACCUCACAGAACGGAGUAAAAAUAUUCACCUUUUUUUUUGCCUGGGUUAGAAAUGCUCUCACUUUUUAUACUUUAGCAUUUUCCCUUAUCCGCAAUGGGAAAUAUUCCAUUUGCUACACACUCUAGGGCCAACUUUUAUUAACGUCUGGGAUCAACGAAUCUUCUCUGCAGCCUCUUUCAGUUUGUGUCCAAAAUACUUUCUGAGGUGGAAUAAAAUUGCUGGUUUUAGGGUCUUGCGCUAUAUAUAUAUUCGUUCUAUAUAUUCCCACAAUUUAGGUGCACAACUUUAUAGUAUGUACACUGUAUUCAACUUUUGAAAAAAUAAUGAAGCUUGUAGUCACAUGACAUAUUGCAUAUUUGUUUCUCUAUUUUUCAAAGUGAUCGAUGUUACUAACUUUUCUUAUGUUUAUAAAGACAUGACUCGACUAGUUCUUUUAAUUACGGUAUACAUAUACUAGCAUUCAUAUCACAUUAGCUUAGCAAAGUUAAAAACAUGUGACCUACAGCCAAAAUUUAUCCAAGUUUUGAUCAUACUGGUUACAAAAAAGAUUAUUUCAAUUCAUAUCAUAAUGGUAUAAAAAACAAAGAGUAGGGGGAGCACAUGAACAGAAAUAUGGAUGCAUGGGCAAAGAGAUGGACAAAAAAAAUGGCGUCGCCCGGACUUGAACCGGAGACCUUCAGUGUGUUAGACUGACGUGAUAACCAACUACACCACGACACCACUUGUUUAACUGUAGGUUAAUUAUUAAUCGAGUUUAAUUAACGAUUCAUUUUUGUAACACUUUCAGUACAUCUACAUCGAUAUAUCCUGAGUUCCUGGGCAUUUCAAAUUAGUGGCCAUCAGAGAGCAACAAACUGCAAAUCACAUCUUACGCAUGAGAUCUCAGAUUCCCAGCACACCCUCCGUGUGGGCCGCACACGUGUCCUCUCUUUUGCAUCACCACACCAGGUCCAAGCUAUGGCAAGGCAGUCCCCAUGCUAUUUCUUCUAGUGGCUCCAAACCUCAGCAUCCAGUAGCAAAAACCCCUUUUCCACUCAUAGUGCACAUGACUGCGACCACAAGGUGAUCCAUCAGCAGUUCAACAUGUGCAACUACUGCCCAUGAAUAGCUUUCCCUACCGGCCAAUGCCCAAAAUGACUUUUAUGAAGGAAAAAAGAGAGAGGGAGAGAGAGAGGUGAAAAUGGAGGAGGUUGACCCCCUAAAUUCACGGCAUACCGAAACGUGUCGGUGUCACUGUCGAAAGAUGAGCGCGCGCAAGAAAACAAGAACAUCUCUGUAGCUUUAAGUGUGUGAUCAAUAUUAAUGAUAGCUUUGCGAUCAAUGUUAUUGCUUCUUCUGAUCUCUUGAUACAUGUUGUUGUUUUCUGUUGACCAGCGGCGGCAGCAGUUGGGCCUAGGGAAUGGUACUUCUUCAGCCUCAAGGACCGGAAGUAUGCGACGGGGCAGCGGACAAACCGGGCUACGGUUUCAGGUUACUGGAAGGCUACUGGGAAGGAUCGGGCAGUGGCGCGGCGAGGGGCAUUGGUGGGGAUGAGGAAGACCUUGGUUUUCUACCAAGGGAGGGCCCCUAAGGGGAGGAAGACGGAGUGGGUGAUGCAUGAGUACAGGAUGGAGGGUACACUUGAGCAAUCCUCCAAGGUAACGUGUGUACAAUGCUACUGGUAAUACUAGAUUGCUAUGAAUCGAAUGAAUUAUCAAAAUAUGCUUCAUCUUACUUUAAAAUGUGUUGUUUAAGGCGUUCUGGAACCCAAUUAUCUUUAGAUAGUUUCCAAAUAAAAAAUUAAUUGCAUAGCGUAGGUACAAACUGUGAGCUAGGCACAUCUAUUCUAUAAGAGAAUGACUUGUAGUGGGCAUAUUUCCUACUGAAAAGUCGUUGUCAAGACUUGUCACACUGUUCGUAUGAGAUGAACAUCUCUACUUGUCUCUUUCCUUCGUUUAUUUAUUGUAGGAAGUUCUUCGUUUAUUUUUGAUUGAUAUUUGGCCAAUAUAUUUUAUUUUUGAUAUUAUACUUCUUGAACACAGAAGGCCUUUUGCACCGCUUCACAGAACAUCCUGAAUUAACAGGUGCAGACAUUAAUAUUAUAAGAACCAAUUCUAGUUUUGAAAAACUAAAAGAAGAACAUUCUGAAGUAACAGAAAGAUAGGUAUCUUAAUUCUUAAACGAUGCAUGAUUUUACAUGAAGGCUUGGAUCAGGUCCGUAGAACUAGAAAAGUAUAUUCACCAGAUCAGUGAUGCAAUUAGUGUUAGUACAGUCCAAGUGAUUAACGAGACUGCAUUCAAUGAACUAACCGAGAUGUUUUCACUGAUCUUCCAUGCGUCACCAACAGGAUGAAGAUUGGGUCCUGUGCAGAGUCAUCUGCAAGAAGAAAUUACCAGGAGGCGCCAGCUCCAAGGCGUCAAGAAGCCUCGCCACCAAUGGCGGCCAUGACACCGCACCAACCAGCUCGCCGCCGCUGCCACCCCUCAUGGACACCACCCUAGCACAGCUCCAGGCCGCCAUGAACACCACCGCCGGCGCAAUCGAGCAGGUGCCCUGCUUCUCCAGCUUCAACAACAUUGCCAGCAACAGCAACAGUGCUGCAGCAGCUCAGCCAUGCUACCUGCCCAUGGUCACUGGCAGCCAUGGCAUGAGCUUUCUGGACCAUGGCCUGCCUGAGCUUGGCGGCUGCUUUGAUCCUCUGAACUGCGACAAGAAGUUGCUCAAGGCAGUGCUGAGCCAGUUUGGAGGUGAGGUGGUGCCAAGCCUGCCGCAUGAGAUGGCUGCUGGUACUGCUGCAACCUCCACUUGGAUGAAUCACUUCUAGGGAAAUUGAUUCAGCAAGCACAAGCGAUUGAUGAUUCCAUAUGAACUAUAUUUACUUAUUGUGUGGUACAAGUACAAUAUUUAUGUGUGAGUAGUAGAACAUGCAACAUUUUUUUUCUGUCGAUUUCGAUAAGGCAGGCAAAAAUUAGGAGUGAUACUCUGUAAUGGCUGUUGAAGUGUGUAUAUUCAGAUGUAGAGGACCAGAGGAUUGAGUGAUCAAGAGAAUUUCAGAUUUAUUGUUUUGCUGUGCCUGAAUCCUAAUAAUAGCGCAGUAACAGCAACAGAGCAUGUACAAUAAUUCAGAACGCACAAGCUGCCAUCCAGAUACAGUACUGGUCCAAAUUCAAUCAUGAUAUUUAUUCAGGAAAGUAGGCAUGACAGUCACAUCCAGGCAUCUCCUUGUGCAUAACAUCUUUCUUUUCUGCUGUAUUAUUGCAAUGACAAGCAUGGUAAUCAAGCAGUAAGUUGAGAGUUCCUGGCUUUCCAUUGCACUGUUCCUGAUAUGCUGCUGGCCAACUGCAUGAGUGAGUGACCACUGAUGACCUGUGUGCUUCAUUGCACCUUUCAGAAAGAGGCCUUGAUCGAUCCUUAUUGCUUUUGCUGUACUUUGUUCUAUAAGUACUAGUACUCGUACGCUUAUAAAUACAACGUCCUGUACACCUCUUUGGCUCAUCUUGUAGGAGUACAAUUUGGAAGGUUACAUGACAGAAAAGAAAGAGCAAGAUGUGCUGGCAUCAAGGUGAUGGUUGCUAGGUACUGAAACAUCAAAGUCUUCUCUGUUCUUUUGCAACAAUUUGUUAUUUUUUUUAGGCUACCUGCAAUAUUAUGCAAAUGUAAGAUUGCACUCUAGAUUCGCUUAGAUACAUGGUACCAUUUCACAGUUUCUUCUCCAUGUCAGUCCAAUACAUGAACAUAUAUCUAGACUGUGAUUUCAGAGUGUUAGGUCGAUGCGUUGAGCCAGAUAUUAAUUAAAUUCUUAAUUUGUAGAGAUUGCUGAAAGGAACACUUGGACAACCUCCUACAUUUAUGAAAAUAAAUUCGAUUAUUGUGCAUAAAUAAGACCCUGUUUGGAUGGAUCAACAUCCCAUGCUACUCCAAACAACUUCUCAUUCAGAUGUCUCCUUCUGAACUUCAGGCACAGCUUCAAUAUUCAGAUUUAUGUAAGAACUGUCUGCAAAGUAGCACCCUGAAGAAAAUAAAGUAGCAUCUGUACAGCAUUGCCUGUUACAACUUACAACCACAAAGGAUUAGAAACAUUCAAUAGAGUAAUUACACAAACUUUUGUAAGAACUGGUCUAACCAAAGAUCAAUAUAAUAACCAACUGCAGCUAUGUGCUUUUGUACUCUUGGCAUACCCAUUUCAGGCCAAGCAACAUGGAACAGUUUGACACCAAAUUUGGCAGCACUCAAUGCUGUGAUCCAGCUCCCCCACAUGUGUAUCAGAGCAGCUCACAGUUGUGUUGCCUUGACCCCCAGAGUGAGAUCCAAAUGCUGAAACAGUGCACUGUUGUGGAUGAGCUGUCUGAGAUAUGGACUACUCAUUGGCCUGCCACAUUGGGCCGGUGAGCGUUGGAUGCAGCUGAUAGUAGGUUCAGUGCCAGCAUGAGGACGACACCGAUGAACGAUGAAACGAUCGCAAUGCCUCCACGGCUGCAGAAGGAACCAAACUUGUCGCACAUCGGGUUCCACCGUGCGUGCAAGUUACCGUUCUUGCCUAGCUCCGCCAUCGAGGCCGCUGUGGCGGCACCGGUAGCCAACAGAGCCAUGAUCACCUGGACCAAUGACAACAGAGGGAAAAUAAUGAUGUGUAUCCAUAUAAACUGGCAUUGGUUUGACAUUUGUCAGAUAAGCUACAGUACAUCCCUAUGCAAGUACAGCAACAGAAGUUUCAGUCAGGCAACUGGUUUUGGACAGUUGCAAUAGAUUCUUGAUUACGCUGAAAUUUAUACUUCUAUAAUAGCACACUAGCAUCAUUAUUAUAAGGCUCCAAAUUCUGUUCUGCGUUCUCUGACCAGGUUUGGCUGCGUUAUGUAGUGUGACGGCUCACAUUUUCCGCGAGCAAUCAUCUCAGAGUGAUUGCAAAUGCACAGUUUGUCUCAUUCCCUCUUACAUUCAAUUGAUCGUUGAUGUGGUAGUCUUGUUCAGACUUCAGAGAACUAUUUCAGAGUUGAUUUAUGGUGAUACUACUAUUGAAUUAAGUUGUCUUCAAGCGAACUAGUGCUACUAUCAAUUGAAUCAAUGGUAUUCAGUUAGCUAACUGAACACAGAAGACCAGAAAGAAUCACCAUGUCGAGCAUCUGCACGACCAAACUCGAUGUCCUCCGCCGCAGAAUUAGGCGCCUGAUGAUCAGCACCAGCAGGUUAUACACACCGGCAAUGGCAUUGGCUAUGACGAAGUACCUGCUCAAACAAAUCCAUCACCUUCCACAGUUACUGCUACACGCGCUGAAACACCGACGAUUCAUCAGAAAAAAAAAGAAAAGAAAAACUGUUUUGGCAAUGAAGCAGAGGCCUUUCAGGCUUACACAAAUGCAGGCGUGUCUCUGAACUUCGCGGUGAAGGUCUGCGUGAGCGGCCGGGUGCCGACGAUGGCGACCACCGCGGUGUAGGACUGGGUGUUGAGCGCCAUGACCGCCGCCGCCACCGCCGUGGCCAGGGCCGCGGCGGCGCGCAGCACGGCCGGCUGCACGGCGGCGAGCCUGUCCCUGAGGAGCUUGUUGCAGGUCGUCGGCGUCGCAGCCGCCGCCGGUGCAGCAGAGGGCUUCCUGCUGCUGCCAUGCUCGAGGUCCAUGGAGCGAUCAGUGCUCGUGAAUUGCACGUGAGCAUUCAGUUGCACGAAUGGAAUCGAUGCGUUUGUGCCGAGAUUAUAUGGUGGCUGUCAGUUCAUGUCAGAAAAAAAGAUGAUGCGUGUUGUUGGGUAAUCGCCGGUCGGUUUCUGCAAGUUUGGGUUACUUGUGCUGCCGAUUCUUCAUUGAAGAAGUUUUGGUCUUGGCUUGCCUUUCUCUGUUCCGAAUUGUAUGUCCAGCUGAUUAGUCAAAGAAGAGGUAGUGCUUUGGAUAAAAGUUAGAACCUGUGGUCUGCAUGAGCAGGGAAAUGAGUGUCUGAGAAGAAAUGUACAUGUUGUUUUCUUCUUUUUUUUUCAGGUUUACACAAAAGGUUGGUUUGGCAGAGAAGGGUGAAGGAGUGCGAGAGAAGGAAUGUUGAGGAAAGAGAAAAUUUGGCGCGCCACUGGAAAGGAAAACGGGCAUUGAGUUCAUCGGUAGAUGCAGCUACCGUGGAAAGACGUGUUUGAAGAGUUAUAUGUGUGUUCAUAGACGUUUUUGGUGUUAGGCCAAAGGGGUGGUGGCGCAGUAUGCUAGCGCGUAGGUCUCAUAGCUAUUGCGAGUGAUCCUAAGGUCGAGAUUUCGAGACUCUCUCACCCUAAUUUUAUUAUCGUUUUAUAUGGUUUUAAAAUGUGACGAUUUGCAGCGAGACUGUUUUUUCUAGUAUACUCGGAAUCUCUCUCACCCCAAUUUUUUCGUUUUACGGUUUUUAAAUGUGACGAUUUGCAUCGAGACUGGUUUUUCUAGUUGUACCAAGUCUUUUUUUAAAAAAAAAUCUUAUUUGACACUAGAAGAUGACUAAAUUCUUUUAAUUUUCAUCCUGACACUGACACUGAGUUCUAUCUUUUAUUCCUUAUUCGAUAUUUUCAUCACUUUUGUCACACAAGUCGAACAAAACAACCAUUAAAUCACCUCCAAAAUUCAUGAACUUUUUUUGAUAAUAGAACAAAUGAAGAUGAGUCCAUUUUGCUUAAACACGUACAUGUCCUUUGCUAUUUUCAAAUUAAAAUUCACCGAAUCUGACUACUUUUGAAGCAUGAGAUGUGGUCACUUAUAAAAUUAUUUUCUAUCAUAAUUACAUGAAGAAUUACAAGGUUGUUUUAAAUUUUCCCAAAUUUACGGUUCUUCAUAAUUCUCUAUGUAAGUUUUGCUAGGAAAUAAAUUAAUGAGUUACAACAUCUUAUGUGAGAAUAUUAGUUAUUUUCUUAUAAUUUUUAAAAGUGUUUUGGUGCCAUGAAAAUUCAGAGAAGUUAUAAAGGUAGCAUAAGUAGGUGAAUUUUAAUUUUAAAACCGUAAAGGUAUACGUGUCCUUUUAAUAAAUAUGGGUUCAUAUUCAUUUGUUGUAUCACUACAAAAAGUUUCAUGAUCUUUGGAGGUGAUUUGUAGAUCGUUUUACCUGACUUAACUAACACAAGUGACGGAAAUGUCAAAUAAGGAAUGAAAGUUAACUAACACAAGUAACGGAAAUGUCAAAUGUUAAAUAAGGAAGGAAAGUUAGAAGUUGGUAUCAUAUUAGAAAGGAAAAACUUAAAACUUUUCAGGGUCAUGAAAGAAAUUAACUCAACUUCCAGUGUCAAAUAAGGAAUUUCCUCUUCUUCUUUUUUUACUGGAAUGCCAUUCUUCUUUUUUUUACUGGAAUGCCAGGACUUUUAUAACUCAAGACAACAGGUUCGUUCAUUUGUACAAGCCUGUAGCAUUUUUUAAGAUAGUCUUUACACAUCUACAGUUACUAUCCCUUUAAUUCGUACCAGCAGCACGAAAAUAAACAAUUUUACAUAGGAGAUUAAUAUAGGUGCUUCAAAGAACCAGACCUGAAUAAUGCAUUUCUGUCUCUGCAUUCAGUCCAAAACUCCGAAAGGGAAGCGAUUAGCAUUUACCAGAUUGAUUCUCACCAACAUCCAGAUUGAUUAAAACACUGUAUUUCAAGAGCCAUUUGUGAUGUUUGUUUUGUCGUCAUUAUUCACUGAGAAGGCUGCAAGCACCCACGGGAUAGGAGUUUGAUCACACAGUGAGGUCUAACAGAGCCCAUAUUACAUACAAAAGAAUCAAGGGUAACAAGCUACAGUUUCUGAGUAUCCACACCCGCACUUCGUUUUCGCUCGUUCUGGCAUGAUCAAAGGGGC